ensembl:lncRNA LINC00511 long intergenic non-protein coding RNA 511
GGCGCCCACCGUAAGCCUCCCGGGCCUUGUGAACCUGCAAACCCAAGUCUGAGAGACGAUCCGCCUUCAGCGCUUUCCAGCUUGGCAGAGAGGCUUUCCCGGCGGGGAUCUUUGGUUGGCGCUGGCGAUGCGCGGGGAAGAAAGGCGAGGAGCGGCGUCCAGGCUGGGUGAUGUCCCAGCACGAGUAGGCGGGAUGCGCUCGCUUGGUCCUCCGGGCGCCCGGUCCCUGCCCGCGUCGCGCGCCCACCCCUGGGGACGAGAAGGCGGCCGCCUGAGGACCCCCGCCCGCGACCUCCGCGAGUCUGGAGCGCAGAGGACAGGGUCUGGCUGCUCUUUGGCCUUGGAUGGAAAGUGGGGAAUUGGGUGGGGGGCUGCGGACCCCUUAACGUGGAUUACUUGGUGUGUAUCAGCUGGGCUCAGAAGACCCACGACCUCUUCUCCAUCCGUGGAUUGAUUUGUUCUGCUUAACAGCUGGGUCGCCAAGCUGGAGUCAUCCCCCUGCCUCCAAGCGGAGCUGAUUCACCUGGGACACGGUGGUCAGCGACCACCCCAUCCUGGGCGUUCUCGGCCGUUGUCCUUCAGCCUCUAGCGCUGCCAAGCCUUGGCUGCCUGGAGGGACCGAACCUCAGCUGGGGGAGACGCCCCCGCGUCCUCGGCGCACCCGCUCGGCCCCUUGCACUUGCCUUAACGCCUGGGCGCCCUCCGGGCUCCGUUACUUCGGGAGCGGUGCCGCCUCCGUGAGCUCCUGGCGUCCGCCCACUGGCGACCGGGGACGCUGCUGGGGCGCAGCGGUUGGAGAACGCGACUCAGCCGAGCCCCUCUCACCGUUGGGGCUAGGGGGUGAGCGGGGGCGUUUGGCAAGCAGCUUUCCGGCGAGGACUGGGCCACCCGUCAGGCUGACGCUGGUACGCGUUUGGCCAGGGUGUGGACGGGCUUUCUGAAUAGGUGGGAGGUGGCAGGAAUUCAGUCCAGUGAGACCACCCGCCACCUCCCCUUUCCGGCGCAACUUGCUAAUGGAAGUCGUUUCUUGGCCAAUGUGGGGAGA